rnacentral:snRNA from 1 species
GUGCUUACUUGGUCAACAUGUAUACUGAAAUUGGAACAGCACAGAGAAGAUAAACAUAGUUAAUGUGUAAUGAUGGUUCACACAUUUGUGAAUCAUCCCAUAGCUGU